CUACGGAGGGGGCUAGCGUUGUUCGGAAUUACUGGGCGUAAAGCACGUGUAGGCGGAUCGUUAAGUCAGGGGUGAAAGCCCGGGGCUCAACCCCGGAACUGCCCUUGAUACUGGCGAUCUAGAGUCCGGAAGAGGUGGGCGGAAUUCCCGGUGUAGAGGUGAAAUUCGUAGAUAUCGGGAGGAACACCAGUGGCGAAGGCGGCUCACUGGUCCGGCACUGACGCUGAGACGCGAAAGCGUGGGGAGCAAACAGAAUUAGAUACCCCAGUAGUCC
rnacentral:rRNA from 1 species